rnacentral:rRNA from 1 species
AACGUAAACUUAAUUACACUCAAAACGCCAGGGUACUACGAGCUUAAGCUUAAAACCCAAAGGACUUGACGGUGUUCCAUCCGACUAGAGGAGCCUGUUUUAUAAUCGAUAACUCACGAUUUACCUAACCAUUUUUUGCUACUCAGCCUGUAUACCUCCGUCGUAAGUCCACCCUGUGAAUGAGGAGAAGUAGGCAAAAUGACUUAUAGCCAACACGUCAGGUCAAGGUGCAGCUUAUAAAAUGGAAAAAAUGUGCUACAAUUUCUAAUUUAGAACACACGAAUUACUGCAUGAAAAAAGGUCAUGAAGGUGGAUUUAGCAGUAAGUGAGGAAUAGAGAGCCCCACUUAAUUAAUGGUCACGGAACACGUACAAACCGCCCGUCACUCUCUUCGAUAGCUCAUAAACAGAUAAAUAACCUAUUUGCCGCGCCUUAGAAGAGAUAAGUCGUAACAUGGUAAGUAUACUGGAAAGUGUACUUGGACUAA